UCCUAGGUGGCUCAGUUGAUAAAGAAUCUGCCUGCAAUGCAGGAGACCUGGGUUCGAUCCCUGGGUUGAGGAA
rfam:TPA: Bos taurus chromosome 6, whole genome shotgun sequence.